rnacentral:lncRNA from 1 species
UUGGACGUUACUUGGCUUGCGGAGUAUGGUGCUUUCUGAUUGGAUAUGGCUUUGGCGGGAAGGCUGUGGCCUAGCCAAAGCCGAGCAUUCUGAUGCAUCCUCGGAUGUUAGGUGGGAGUGGUCACGGUUUUCCCUGCGUGGGACAUAGCACAUUUUCGUGCACUGGCUUCAUCUGGUCCACGGAGGUGUGUUCUAUCUCAAGAGACUUGAGAUAGACUAACAGCUAACAAGAUGGAUGCCAGCUUCAUACCCAAAAUCUGCACCCGGCUUUCUUGUCCACCCUUUUUCCUGUGCAGAAAGGCCUUUGCCAUCCAGCGCCCAGGAACCAGUGCUGACAGGAAUUCUCAGAGCAAGCGGAACAUGGUCAAGGCAUGCUACUCUCUGGCUUUGGAGCUGUAGAAACUGGGCAGGCAGAAGGAAGCAAUAAGCAAUAAGAAGAAGGAAGCAUCAGUUGUCCCAAGCCUGAAGGAUUGGAACUGUAAAAACGUCUCUGGAAAGACUUUGACACAAAUCUGGUUUUAAAUAAAUGAGGGUUAGAAUAAGCA